GCCUGGCUAGCUCAGGCCAUGGAGCAUGUGACUUUUGAUCUCAGGGUUGUGAGUUUGAGCCCCAUGUUGGGUG
rnacentral:tRNA from 1 species